GUACAAACGCUGUAAUAAUCACAUAAGACGAAAAGACCCUAUGGAGCUUCAAACCCCUAUACUACCGGAAGUGUAAACCAGAACCCACCUAGUAUAUAUUUUUAGUUGGGGCAACUACGGAGCAAAACAAAAACUCCAUGACCAAGCACAUAACAAGUGCACACCUCUUGGCCGCCACGCCACAUUAAUACCCGACCCAGUAUAACUGACCAUCGAACCAAGUUACCCUAGGGAUAACAGCGCCAUCUUCCCCCAAGAGCCCAUAUCAACGGGGAGGCUUACGACCUCGAUGUUGGAUCAGGACCCCCAGGCGGUGCAGCCGCUGCCAAAGGUUCGUUUGUUCAACGACUAACGUCCUACGUGAUCUG
rnacentral:rRNA from 1 species